UUAAGCUACAAAGGGCAUAUGGUGGAUGCCUAGGCGUUCCGAGCCGAUGAAGGACGCGAUAAGCUGCGAUAAGUCAUGGGGAGCCGCAAGUAGGCUUUGAUCCAUGGAUCUCCAAAUGGGGCAACCCGGUACGAGUCAUGUCGUACCAUCCGAAAGGAAGGCACACCCGGUGAACUGAAACAUCUAAGUAGCCGGAGGAAGAGUAAUCAAACGAGAUUCCCUCAGUAGCGGCGAGCGAACAGGGAAGAGCCCAAACCGGACGUCUUCGGACGACCGGGGUUGAGGACCAGCAUCAAGGGAAGGCAAGAUAGUCGAACAGUCUGGGAAGGCUGAGCACAGACGGUGAAACUCCGGUAGACGAAAUCUUACCCAACGGGCUGGUAUCCAGAGUACCACGAGACACGUGAAACCUUGUGGGAAGCAGGGUGGACCACCAUCCAAGGCAAAAUACUACGGAACGACCGAUAGCGCAUAGUACCGUGAGGGAAAGGUGAAAAGAACCGCGGGAGCGGAGUGAAAUAGAACCUGAAACCGUAUGUCUACAAGCAGUCGAAGCACUUUAUAUGUGCGACGGCGUGCCUAUUGAAGAAUGAACCGGCGAGUUAAUUUCAGAGGCGAGGUUAAGCGGGAGACGCGGAGCCGAAGCGAGAGCGAGUCUGAAUAGGGCGGAAGUCUCUGGGAUUAGACCCGAAACCACAGUGAUCUAUGCAUGGCCAGGUUGAAGCUCAGGUAAAAAUGAGUGGAGGACCGAACCCGUGAGUGUUGAAAAACUUUGGGAUGAGCUGUGCAUAGGGGUGAAAUGCCAAUCGAACGUGGAGAUAGCUGGUUCUCCCCGAAAUAGCUUUAGGGCUAGCCUCAGGUAACACAUGGAGACGGUAGAGCACUGAUCGGGUAAGGGAGCGUAAAGCUUACCGAGCCUAGUCAAACUGCGAAUGGCUUCAUGAGAAGAGCCUGGGAGUCAGAAUGCGAGUGAUAAGACCCGUAUUCAAAAGGGAAACAGCCCAGACCGCCGACUAAGGUCCCAAAUGCUGUACUAAGUGGAAAAGGAUGUAGGACUUCCAAAACAACCAGGAUGUUGGCUCAGAAGCAGCCACCAUUCAAAGAGUGCGUAAUAGCUCACUGGUCGAGAGGCCCUGCGCCGAAAAUAUCCGGGGCUCAAGUACAGAACCGAAGUCGCGGGAUGCGCAAGCAUCGGUAGGGGAGCGUUCCAAGCAGGUUGAAGGCAGACCGGAAGGACGGCUGGACAGCUUGGAAGUGAGAAUGCUGGUAUGAGUAGCGAAACGAUCCGUGAGAAUCGGAUCCACCGAAAGCCUAAGGGAUCCUGAGCAACGCUCGUCGUCUCAGGGUAAGUCGGGACCUAAGCCGAGGCAUCAAGCAUAGGCGAUGGACAACAGGCGAAAAUUCCUGUACUGCAUGAUGUUGUUUGAGGAUGGAGUGACACAGCAAGGAGCUUGAGCGCGCGAUUGGAAAUGCGCGUCGAAGGCGGUAGGCUGGUAUAGAGGCAAAUCCCUGUACUAAGGCCGAGAACUGAUAGAUAGGAGCGUACUUCGGUACAAUCCGAAUUCAAGCGUACUACACUGUCGAGAAAAGCUUCUAACGAGACAUCAUGUACCCGUACCAAAACCGACACAGGUAGGCGGGGAGAGAAUCCUAAGGUGCGCGGGAAAACCCUCGUUAAGGAACUCGGCAAAAUGCAUCCGUAACUUCGGGAGAAGGAUGGCCGGAGCUGGUGAAGACCCUAGCGGUUGGAGCUGGAGCCGGCGGCAGAAGAGAAGCCCAAGCGACUGUUUACCACAAACACAGGUGCCUGCUAAAGAGAAAUCUGACGUAUAGGUGCUGACACCUGCCCGGUGCUGGAAGGUUAAGAGGAGAGGUUAUUCGCAAGAAGAAGCUUUGAAUUGAAGCCCCAGUAAACGGCGGCCGUAACUAUAACGGUCCUAAGGUAGCGAAAUUCCUUGUCGGGUAAGUUC
rnacentral:rRNA from 1 species